GGAUGGCUCAGCUGUUAAGAGCNCUGGCUGCUCUUCCAGAGGUCCUGAGUUCAAAUCCCAGCAUCCA
rfam:Neotoma lepida isolate 417 scaffold_191, whole genome shotgun sequence.